rnacentral:rRNA from 1 species
CGUAAUAACAGAAACUAACCAGGAUUCCCUUAGUAACGGCGAGUGAACUGGGAUACCAAUAUAUUUAUGCGUCUCUGGCGCAUAUUUUUAGCCCGUCGAUACUAUCCUAGCGUAUUACCGGUUUCGGCCGGUAGCCCAAUACGCGGGAAUUGUAGCAUCGUAAUAAAAUAUACACCAUGCCUGCGUCGCAAACGUAUAUACACGUAUACUCACACACACACAUACUCGUACGCGUACACACCCCUUGCAAACACACAGCGCUCCCGCGUUGGAAAGCAAGUCUAUAUCCUCUUUGGAUAUGCCAUAGAGUGUGACAGCCACGUUUGAAACACCCUUACGUACCGUACACACACAUACGUAAAAAUACGCGCUGCUUCGCAUACGCAUACCGUAUAUAACCUGAGUCGAGUUAUUU